rnacentral:snoRNA from 11 species
GAAUGAUAUGAUGAAUGAAUUUGUUUCCCUAUUGGUUUGAUCGCCGGGAUGAUGGCGACAAAUAGUAUUAGCUCUAUCUGAUCAUUC